rnacentral:rRNA from 1 species
CAGCCGCCGCGGUAAUACGUAGGUGGCAAGCGUUGUCCGGAAUUAUUGGGCGUAAAGCGCGCGCAGGCGGAUCAGUCAGUCUGUCUUAAAAGUUCGGGGCUUAACCCCGUGAGGGGAUGGAAACUGCUGAUCUAGAGUAUCGGAGAGGAAAGUGGAAUUCCUAGUGUAGCGGUGAAAUGCGUAGAUAUUAGGAAGAACACCAGUGGCGAAGGCGACUUUCUGGACGAAAACUGACGCUGAGGCACGAAAGCCAGGGGAGCGAACGGGAUUAGAUACCCCCGUAGUCCCUGUCUCUUAUACA